GUACUGAUGAAGAGUCCCAAACUAGGACGAAAUGGGUGUCCAGUAC
rfam:Trichobilharzia regenti genome assembly, scaffold: TRE_scaffold0008422